AUUGAACGCUGGCGGCAUGCUUUACACAUGCAAGUCGAACGGUAACAGGGUGCUUGCACCGCUGACGAGUGGCGAACGGGUGAGUAAUGCGUCGGAACGUGCCGAGUAGUGGGGGAUAACGCAGCGAAAGUUGUGCUAAUACCGCAUACGUACUGAGGUAGAAAGUGGGGGACCUUCGGGCCUCACGCUAUUCGAGCGGCCGACGUCUGAUUAGCUAGUAGGUGAGGUAAAGGCUCACCUAGGCGACGAUCAGUAGCGGGUCUGAGAGGAUGGUCGGCCACAAUGGGACUGGGACACGGCCCAGACUCCUACGGGAGGCAGCAGUGGGGAAUUUUGGACAAUGGGCGAAAGCCUGAUCCAGCCAUGCCGCGUGUCUGAAGAAGGCCUUCGGGUUGUAAAGGACUUUUGUCGGGGAGGAAAUCCCCAGCGUUAAUACCGCUGGGGGAUGACAGUACCUGAAGAAUAAGCACCGGCUAACUACGUGCCAGCCGCCGCGGUAACAC
rnacentral:rRNA from 1 species